UCGAGCGAGGCGGGGAGCAAUCCCCAGUCGAGCGGCGAACGGGUGAGUAACGCGUGGAUGACCUGCCCUUCAGCGGGGAAUAACCCGGGGAAACUCGGGCUAAUACCGCAUACGACCGAGAGGUGAAAGGGGGCCGCAAGGCUCUUACUGAAGGAGGGGUCCGCGUCCGAUUAGCUAGUUGGUAGGGUAAUGGCCUACCAAGGCGACGAUCGGUAGCCGGCCUGAGAGGGUGAUCGGCCACACUGGAACUGAGACACGGUCCAGACUCCUACGGGAGGCAGCAGUGGGGAAUUUUGCGCAAUGGGCGAAAGCCUGACGCAGCAACGCCGCGUGGAGGAUGAAGGUCUUUGGAUUGUAAACUCCUGUCAGCAGGGAAAAAGGGACUGGACCUCAUACGUCCGGAACUUGAUUGUACCUGCAGAGGAAGCCCCGGCUAACUCUGUGCCAGCAGCCGCGGUAAUACAGAGGGGGCAAGCGUUA
rnacentral:rRNA from 1 species